rnacentral:rRNA from 1 species
UACGUAGGUGGCGAGCGUUAUCCGGAUUUAUUGGGCGUAAAGGGAACGCAGGCGGUCUUUUAAGUCUGAUGUGAAAGCCUUCGGCUUAACCGGAGUAGUGCAUUGGAAACUGGGAGACUUGAGUGCAGAAGAGGAGAGUGGAACUCCAUGUGUAGCGGUGAAAUGCGUAGAUAUAUGGAAGAACACCAGUGGCGAAAGCGGCUCUCUGGUCUGUAACUGACGCUGAGGUUCGAAAGCGUGGGUAGCAAACAGU